AUUGAACGCUGGCGGCGUGGCUAAAGCAUGCAAGUCGAACGAGAACCCAGCAAUGGGGGACAGUGGCGGAAGGGCGAGUAAUACAUUUCUACGUGCCCCAAGGUGGAGGAUAGGUCGGGGAAACCCGGCGUAAUACUCCAUGUGAUCCCCGGAUGAAAGGCUUCGGCCGCCUUGGGAGCGGGAAAUGUCCUAUCAGGUAGUUGGUGAGGUAAUGGCUCACCAAGCCAAUGACGGGUAGCGGGUGUGAGAGCAUGACCCGCCGCAUCGGGACUGAGACACUGCCCGGACUCCUACGGGAGGCUGCAGCGACGAAUAUUCCGCAAUGCGCGAAAGCGUGACGGAGCGACGCCGCGUGCAGGAUGAAGCGGCUCUGCCGUGUAAACUGCUGUCAGGGUAUAGAAAAACUGAUCAUACCCAAAGGAAGGGCCUGCUAAUCUCGUGCCAGCAGCAGCGGUAAUACGAGAGGCCCGAGCGUAAUCGGAAUCAC
rnacentral:rRNA from 1 species